AACGAACGCUGGCGGCAGGCCUAACACAUGCAAGUCGAACGCCCCGCAAGGGGAGUGGCAGACGGGUGAGUAACGCGUGGGAACCUACCUAGAGGUGCGGAAUAGCCCAGGGAAACUUGGAGUAAUACCGCAUAAGCCCGCAAGGGGAAAGAUUUAUCGCCUUUAGAUGGGCCCGCGUCUGAUUAGCUAGUUGGUGAGGUAAUGGCUCACCAAGGCGACGAUCAGUAGCUGGUUUGAGAGAAUGACCAGCCACACUGGGACUGAGACACGGCCCAGACUUCUACGGAAGGCAGCAGUGGGGAAUUUUCCGCAAUGGGCGAAAGCCUGACGGAGCGACGCCGCGUGGAGGAAGAAGUAUUUCGGUAUGUAAACUCCUUUUGUCAGGGACGAAAAAAUGACGGUACCUGAAGAAUAAGCAUCGGCUAACUACGUGCCAGCAGCCGCGGUAAAGUAGUCGUGUG
rnacentral:rRNA from 1 species